AUACGUAGGGGGCGAGCGUUGUCCGGAAUGACUGGGCGUAAAGGGCGUGUAGGCGGCGCUGUAAGUCUGGAGUGAAAGUCCCGUUUUCAAGGCGGGAACUUCUUUGGAUACUGCAGAGCUUGAGUGCGGAAGAGGUAAGUGGAAUUCCCAGUGUAGCGGGGAAAUGCGUAGAGAUUGGGAGGAACACCAGUGGCGAAGGCGACGUACUGGGCCGUAACUGACGCUGAGGCGCGAAAGCGUGGGGAGCGAACAGGAUUAGAUACCCUGGUAGUCCGUGCCGUAAACGAUGAAUACUAGGUGUAGGGGGUAUCGACUCCCUCUGUGCCGCAGUUAACACAUUAAGUAUUCCACCUGGGGAGUACGGCCGCAAGGUUGAAACUCAAAUGAAUUGACGGGG
rnacentral:rRNA from 1 species